ACAUCAGGGUGCAGCAAGCAUCUGCUGUUCCCAAAGAUACUGGGAGUUGAAGGGAUAAUGGGUCUCCUACAGGGACUGAGCUCUCCUACUGGAGACUUGGGGCUGAGCUUAAAUGGGGCUCCUGAGCCCAUGGGCAGAAGAUGGAAGUUCCAGGUUAGGCUAGUUGGAGUCAUUACGUCUGGUCAGAGACCUCACAGAUGGGCACUGUUCUGUAUCUGUCAUUGAUUUCCUGUUGAUCUCAAACAAAUCAUUUCCACUGCGUUUCUUCGUCUUACCUGAGUUUCAAUUGAAAGAAGUACCAGAACUGUGUUCUCUGAAUCUUUAGAUCAGUAGAAAAGAGCAGUGAACAGAACGUUAAUUUUUAGUACACUUGUGAUUGCAAGAUGCACACCACAAUAGCUCUUCCACGCAAUAAUCUUUUACUGUUCACGUGCGUAAAUACUCUUAUUUUCAUCUAACAAGCUUCUGAGUAUUUCUGACAGAAUUCCUGUGAGAUUAAACAUCAUAUAAAACGCAUUUAUCUCACACAAGAUAUGACUUGCUCUUGAACCCCCAGCAGUUGCUGGGUAUACAGCUAUAUUUUUUAUUGUUAUUACUGUUUUUCUGCUUUUUGUCCUGGAUCUUGUAAGAUACCUAUCCUAUCUCUAAUUAUGCUAACGAGGUCCCGAGGUUGAUUUAGAGGCUCUGUUAUAAUGCCAGCCUCCCAGUUUAUAUCUCAAGUAUCAGCAUGUUUGUUGCAGAUGUCAGUUAAGAGAAGGAAGCUUCUUUUUCUGUGCUUGCGUGGAGAGUAAGAACAGGAGCUGGAGCUGGAGGGGAGUAGCAUAAAAUAACAGAAAUGAGAUAAAACAGUGAGCUCUGCUAUAUCUGCAUGAGGACUGAUUUUUCUGUGGGGCACAGGCAGCUUGCCUGUAUCUUCUUAUGGAGAUGCAACAUUUGGUUUCAUACGUUCUUUCCCCAGACACACAACAAAUUGACUCAUGAAACAGAAUAGUUCGUUUCUGAAGGCCAGCACCAUGUUAGGUAUGUUGAUAAUUUUCUAGAGCUGAUGUAUGUGUUAGUCACCCUUGCUGGUCCACUGCUGAUCUGAAAGAAGUUAAAUCAUUGCGAAAGCAAAGUUGAUGUCAUCAUGGCGCCUGCUGGACCUGGAGCUUGGGAGCUGGUGAAGGAGGUGCUUCUCCCGUGCUUCUGCCUGGGAAAAGGGUCAGGCUGAGCUGUGGGUGUGCAGUCAAGGGCCCAAUGUCUGUGGCUCCUUCCCAAACCCCAGACUCACGAGCUUGUCAAGAGUGCAGACUACUAUCCACUGUUGUAGUUUCACAUGGGUGUGAAUGAUACUGAAAGCUGGAAUGUGGUCAGAAUCAAAGAAGAUUCAGAGCUCAGAGGGUUGUGAUCAGUAGUGCAGAGUCUGGCUGGAGGCCUGUCCCUAUUAGUGCUCCCCAGGGAUCGGUGCUGGAUCCAGUCUUGUUAAACAUCUUCAUCAGUGACCUGGAUGAUGGGAUAGAGCUCAAUCUCAGCAAGUGUGCUGAUGAUAUGAAGCUGAGAGGAGUGGCUGACACAUCAGAAGUCGGCUGCCAUUCAGCAGCACAGGACAGGCUUGAGGGUUGGGCAGAGAGGAACCUUACAAGGUUCAACAGGAGCAAGUGUAGAGUCCUACAUGUGGGGAGGAAUAAUUGCGUGCAUCAGUAUACAUUAGAGGCUGACCUGUGGGAAAGGAGCUCUGCAAAGGACCUGAGUGUUUUGGUGGCCAACAGAGUGACCAUGAGCCAGCAGUGUGCCCUGAUGGCCAGGAAUGCCAAUGGUACCUGGGAUGUAUUAAAAGGAACAUGGCCGGUAGGGAGAAGACUGAGGGGGGAUCUUAUCAAUGCUUCUAAAUAUCCAAAGGGCAAGAGUCAAGUGAAUGAGGCCAGGCUCUUUUCAUGGGGCCCAGUGACAGAACGAGGAGUAAUGAGCACAAAUUGGAACGGAUCAAGUUCCAUCUGAACAUGAUGAAAAACUUCUUUACUUUGAGGAUAGCAGCGCUGGAACAGGUUGCCCAUAGGGUUGGUGGAGUCUCCUUCUCUGGACGUACUCAGAACCCACCUGGAUACUUGUUCUGUGUAACCUACCUGAGGUAAUGUGCUUUAGCUGGGUUAGACUGGAGGAUCUCCAGAGGUCCAUUAUCAUUUUGUGAGCUUCAUGCAGAGGACUCCUGCUGCACACCUUUUUUUGCUCUGCUCUUUGCUAUUUCUCCCAAUCUGAUUGGAUCCUGAUGGCUUUUAUAAACGAGAGACAUGCAUGCACAUUUUCAAGGGCCUCCUUUAUAUAUAUAUAUCUAUGGCACCAUGUGUGUAUGCCCAAGCAUGUAAGUCAGGAUCUGUUUUACUGUGUAUGAAUAGAUGGGUAUGUUGCACAGGCCUGUUUUACUGACAAUAUUGUGUGUAUCAGACAUAAGCUAUCAUAUAUCCUUUAAACUUCUAUAGGAGCGUGGGCAUUUCCUACUUACUUUUUAACACUGAGGCUACGACUUGGCAUCGCGUGAGACACUGAAAAAUAAAGAGACCCUGCACUGAAAAGUUUGUGCUCUAAAUGUCAGACAGGAUGCACUGUGGUGAGGAAGAUUUCUGAUGUGUUUGUAACUUAAAUAGGAAAAAAACUAAAUUUGUUUCACAGGAAAAGAGCAUGUGCGUGUUUGUUUUGAAAAAGAGCUUAGAAAAGAAAAAGCAACAGCUUUGUGACAGUUUGCUGGGUUUCUCUUACCACCUGCACAGAGGUCCAGAGAAGGAAAUGGGUGCACACGUCUGUGUGGCCUCAAUUGCCUGUGCCUUGUUCCUCUGCUCAGUGAGCGAGGUUCAGCUGUGCCUCUGGAGGUGCAGCUGGCAGCAGGACAGGAUCCGUCAGCACGUGUGCCAGCCCUUGGGCUCCUGAACUCUUCCCCAUGGCUCUGCUGCGAUCGCCUGCCUCUGUGUCUAAUUCCUAUCUUAUGUUGUGCUUUAUGCUUUUAAUGAGAAGGGAUAGACAGCAAAACAAAGCUUCCAUGCUGUGAUCAUAGGAGAGGAGCUGUUUAUUUCUGUGCUUCGUGUGAUGACAUGAAAACAGUCAGUGGCUUUACAGUGGAGCUGUGCAAUGCUCCCAGCACCUUUGCUGAUGCCAGCUGACAGUCCGGGGCACAUGGCCCUUUCAGUACUAUUCUGCAUCAUUGCAGUGAUGGGCAGCAGGUCAGAAAUAUUAGAAAUAGGUACAUUUUUCCAGGUUUAAAUCAUUUUGAACUCUUAUGACUUGUCAGCAUUUUUAUUACACAUGUGCGUAUUUGUAUUUUAAGAAAAUGAAGUGCUGGGUGUGGAUAUGUGCAAAUACUAUAAAGAAGACACAAUGAUAUGAAGCUUCCUAAAGCCUUAAAUGCCAGAAGUGUUUGACUCCAAACAAGUGUGGGGCUGAAAAGGUAUGUGGAGAAGCUUUGGUCCACUUUGCUGCUAAAGACAGAAACAUCUCACAGGUUCAAUUCAAGGUGAUCAAGACUUACCCAGGAAAGCUUUGUGCUCACAACACCUUGAUGCCACGGCUGGGAGCCUCUUGUGAUGUGGUGGGGAUAUAAUGCCAUGCCAGGGAGCUGCUUCGUGGUGCUGGAGCCCAUUAGUUGCCUGAUCUCCCUCUGCAGUGUCAAGACAGAGAAGCCCCAUAUUCCAGUUUAUCUGAACAGCCUUCAUGUUGGCAUUUUCUCUGGUUUUAUUGUGGAGAGAAACUCAGUUUCCCCAGCUUAAACUCGCACUGCAUCCCCAAGGGAAGUGUGAACGCAGUGUAUGUGACCCUGUGACCUCAGAAUUCAGCACAGCUUCCCAAAGUGAAGCAUGUUUGUAGGGACUCCAGAACAACCAUACUACAAAUUUAAUAGUAAUAACAGCAGCCACAUUCUUAGCGCUUGCAAAAGAAAGCAACGAUGACAGGAGCUGAAGCAGGUUAUUGUCACUUAUUCUAGCAAAAGCAGCAAAAAUACAGAGCUGUUCUGACCACAGCCUUUCUUGUACCUGCAGUGAUGGACGACCACCUGCCUGGGAAAUGGCUGUGCACUUUAGGGGAGGAAGCCACUUUGAAGGGGCAAUAUAAAGAAAUGUUCUUUCUGUCAGUAAAUCCCAUUUUUUUUUCUCCUUGUGUUCACGUCUGCUACCCUUGAAUAUACAAUUCAAUCCUUUAAAGGUAAAUGUGUUACUGAAAAUAGUACUUACGGCCAGUUCUGAUACUUUUCAUACAUUUUAAAGCAAUUCAUGACUCUUCACACGAAUAACUGAAAUUAACCUUCAUUUGUGCCUUAAUUUGAAGUUCAAACUUAACAUAAUCGAUAUUUUGUGGUCUUCUGCAAUCUGCUCAGUCUGUUUAUCCAAGGAAAUUAUUUGUUCCACUUCUGCAUUUGAGGUAGAAAUGGGCAUAAUUAAAUCCAUGAGCUGUAAGAAACUGAAAGAACUGGAACUCUGAAGAUAGAUAAAUGUACCAUGUCCAAAUUCCAGGCUUUUGAAGUACAUCACACACACUCUCCACUUAACCUCGUAGUGUAUAAUAUAUCCAGUAUUUCUCAUCAAACAGUCCCAGUUCAGCUUCCUGUAAAAUCACAGCUCUUCAGCACAUGUUGUAAAGUUUUGUUUUUUUUUUUCUCCCCAGAGAAAAUGAUUGUCUAAGGUGAAAAUAAUCUUAUUUGCUGUAAUCAGAAUGUGAAAUCAGAAAUGAGAGCAGACGUAUACUACCGAAUAAAAUCCUUCACAUUGUUCCUGUAAUGAUGUGUUUUUGGAUGAGCUACGUUUAUAACCAAGUAAUUUGCUAUCAAUGCUUCAUUGUAAUUUACUCUCUAAAGAAUUCAUCAUGUCAUAAACUUCAGUAGGUACAAGAUCAGUUUGUUCUAAUUUUAAGAUCGUAUCAUAAGAAACAUUUAGCACAUUGUGAAAUAAAUUCAAGUAGCAUUUAAUCACGGCAAGUCUCUCUGUCAUGCCCAUCUUUGUCAUCCUUAACAGACUUAAAAACUGCAACUGGGCAAUUCUCAGCUAAUGUAAAAAGUAACAUCUAAUAGCUUUCAACUGCAAGUCAGACAGAUAAUCAUCUUGUGGGGACAUGCCUCAACGUUUCUGUGCAUUGAAGGUUGACAAAAUGAUACAGCUUCUGUAAUUCUGAAACUCGUGGCAGCCAAGGAGAAGUGAUUGAAAACUUUGGUUACACAGACCUCAAGAUCAAAUGAUUGUUUGAUCAAACGCUUCUUUAUAAAAUACUGCACUGUGUUUUACAGGAGAUGGGGAUGCUUAUUUUGCUUCCAGCUAAUUGCCCAGCUCAUUUUCCAUUAAUUUAUAGAUAGCAAUGCCUGUGAACAUUAGUCUUAUUAGCUGCAUGCAAAUAACAAAUUUCAGAUCAUCUGACUUUUCUUAAUACUUCUUCCCAUUUCAGAUAUUGUCCAACAGUUUCACUGGUAUCUUGCAGUAACAAGAAAACAGAUUUUCUUCAUUAUAGCACGGCACAGAGGCAAAUGACUAUCAAGAACACUGUUAUUUCUGUGGUUUGAAAGUUGGUGUGUGUGGAGUAAUACUAAUGCAAAUCAUCUAGAGUUAUUCAAACUUAUUUUUUUCACUUUUAGUUGUUAUUUUCUGUUUGUAAUUUCAGUGACUUUUUUGAGAGAACAAAUUUCUUGUUUGAAUGAAUGGAAGGAAUUUGAUCUCAAGCGAAGUGAGCACAAGACAGAAUUUUGCUUUUUAAUUCCAAGGGCUGGAGAUAAAAUUGAGGUUGUGUACACAAGGCUUUUACUCCAGCAGGGAGCUGGGCCAACAGCAUUCCCUCUGGUUAUAGGUGGAGAAGCAAAAAAUGGGGUGCAGGGGACCUUCAUGAUGCUUUGCUCUGCUGGAUUCGGGAUGUUGAGCUGACAUGAGUUUGCUCACAUUCCUGAUCUUUCAGGAAAACGACACCUGAGUUGUACCCAGCUUCAAAGUUAUGCAUUAUGCACACAUAAGCAGAUUCGUGGUUUUGUGUUUUCUCUUGACUUUUCUCUUGCAGCUGGUAAAAAAAAAAAUAAAUAUCAAAGGAUAGUAAAAGGAAACUGCAAGCAGGCAAUUCUGUCAGCCCAAAGUGUUCAAAACAGGGCAAACUGGAUUUAGGGAAGGAUGCAAAAUGGGAGCAAAUGUGAUAAUUGUAAGAACUGUACGAGAGAGGCAGGGAAACCCCUUGGGUGCAAGAGUAAAGUCAUCAUCACAUUAUCCCUCCUGGACGUUACCAGAUGGGCAGCCUGGAAGCCCUUCAGCAGCAAACCCAUUCCCUCUGCUGGCUUUCUGUCCUGCUGCCUAUCAGAGGAUCCCACUGCUUGAAAACUAGCAUCUGAAAUGGCUUCAUCAGUGAAUAAGCAGCACUCUGUGGUCAGCUGAGAGCCAGGCUGCCGUGCUUAUGGAAGAUGAGGAAGGAUAGAGAGGAUAAUAACCGUACCAGCUUCACCAACCCAUGGAGAGAACAGCUGAAGAGAGCCUGUGAAAUUGCUAUGAUGAAUAGCAGAAGAAGGGAAGAUUUCUUGCAGUGAGAAAGAUCUGAGCAGCACUUCAGGCUGGAAGGCAAAAGUUGCUCUGAAAAGGCUGCAUCCUGACUCUCCCACAUCCCUGUAUUUUAUCUUGGUCAAUGAUGUACAACCUUGUAAAAAGUAAGUUAAAUAUUUCUGUGGUUAAAUGUCACCUGGCUUGGUGGACACAGAAGGCUCACGUAUAGAGCUGGCAGGAGUAAGUCACUUCAUAAGUUGCAGUCCCUGCUGCUCCCCCUCGUCUAGACUUGUUCUCAUCCUAAACCUAGCAAGGUCCUGUCACUGAAUUCACUUAAAACCUGAAAUGGAGACUUCCUGCUAUAGCAUCCUGUACUUGCAUUCUGCAAACAUCAACUCUGUACUGGGACUGUGUUCCCUGGCUGCAGUUGCUUAUUCUCAGACUCCUCUGAGACUUAAUAGUGUUUCACAUUUAAUUUUGGAGGUCUGCACGAUCCUACUGCUCAGAUCUUGUAAGGUAAACAGGGUCAGACCUGGUUAGUUAUUGGAUGGGGUCACCUCCAAGGAAAACACAGGUGCUGGCCUGCAGGAAGUGUGAUGGUGAUUCAGAGGCGGCUCCGAUCCCUCCGUGCCUCUCGUGUGCCAGAGUGCAGCACUGGCAGGGAUGACUUCUUCCAAAGGUCAGGGCAGGAUGGAAAACCGCUGCCUCUUUAUUUUGUUUACAGGGGCAUGAGUGAAAGUUCCUACCCUAGAAAUGGGGCACAUCUGACGUGGUUAAAAAGUCAGCAGAUCUCUACUUCUUUACAACUGGGAACAGACCCUCUGAAAAGAUGACACCUAUGGUAUUCCAGGAGGCCCUUUGUCCUUACUGCACAAAAACCCAAUUCUCUUAUAGCCCUUCUACCGACAGAGAGUCAGUUCUGCUCUACAAGCAAGGAAUGUUCCUUUUGUCACACUUUCACAUGGUAGAUUGGCUUAGAAUGGAAUUCUCUCCUCACUAAGUUAGAAUGUUUGCACUCUAGUUAUUUUGGGUCAAAAUUCCUUUGAGCUUAGAACUUCAGUUUCCUAAUAGCACUGAAUGAGAGUUGUUCUUAUAACAGGUACAUUUCUACCUCUUUGGACUCAGUCACAUAUCUUACACCUGGCUCAAAAUUUCAGUUCUCUAAAUGACGCUGCAGCUCAUCCUGCUCGAAAACUAGACAGUGAUCUCAUGGACAUCAAAGUUACUCCUUCGAAACAACAUCUUUCUCUGUACCUUUUAUAAUAAAAUGCCUUAAGGUGAAAUCUAUCUUUAGAAUAGAUUUUGCCUCAUAAGAAUAGAGAACUCUUUUUUUCAGAAGAAUUAUUGUUGUUCUCAAUUGUAUUACUAUGGUCUGCUGACCAGGAAUGUAUUGUGUCUUUAUUUGGGACUGAACUGAAUGCAUGCUUCAUUAUAAUGUUGAGGCACUUUUCAUCACAGAUUUACUGAUGUCUGUAGUCUCAACAGAGUGAAACAGAGCUAAGUAUUUUCUAGAAUGAAGUCAAGUGAAUGCAAAGCAUAUGCUUAAUGGAGUGCCUGCUUAAAUGGCGUCCCAAAAGAAGGAUAGAUUUCUCAUCCUUAAGCAUUUUGCAUUAAAUCAUAUGGGAUAAAAUUCAACAUUCAUUUCAAUGAAUCAGUCAACUCAGUAUGACUUAGCUCUUUGCUGAUCAACCACUGAUGGUGCUUUCCAUUCAGACCUGCUCUGGGAUGCUCCAUUUCAUUGGCAGCUUGUUUUGGCUAGUCCUGGAGUACUUUAAAUAUACUUUUGCCAAUUGCAGUUGUAAUUGUCACUUGGGUUUUGAGGGGAGAAGCGAGGAGCAAGUACAAUUUCUAGAUUUUUGUGGGUUUUGGCAUCUUCAUGACAGUUUUACUGAGCUUGCACAUAUUAUGCUCUUGCUGACAUUUCCUCCUUUUGAAGUCAUUAAAACCAAUUUCAUAUUUAUAAAUAAAAUGUCCUAAUGCAUCUAGUAUUUGAUGAGGUCUGGCUGCUGCCUGCUUUUCUUUUUAAUGUUUACACCAGGUGCCUCUUGCUAUCAAGGAACCAAGCAAUGAAUAAAUUUAACAGAUAUUUCUUUUAAUUAGCCCCCAAAGAGCCAGCAAUGAAAAACACUAUCAGAAACAUUUACUGCUAUAGAAAAUACAAGACUUCUUCUCAAAGCCACUACACAGAACUACAGAGCAGCAGUAAAAUCAUCACUUGGAUGCAGACAUAGAUUGUUUACAUAGGGAUCUUGCAUGAAGCAUGCAUUUAUUAGUAUUAACUUCUAAGCAUGCAAACACUUCCACACAUGCAUCUGAGUAGAGCUAUUGAAGCCAGUGGGAUAGCUCUGCUGCCUAGCAUUAGGCACAUGCACUAAAGUUUGUGGGAUUAAGGCUCCAUUUAUGUAUAUCCCUAAG